rnacentral:rRNA from 1 species
UACCAGCAGCCCCGAGUGGUCGGGACGUUUAUUGGGCCUAAAGGCAUCCGUAGCCGGUUCUACAAGUCUUCCGUUAAAUCCAACUGCUUAACAGGUGGGCUGCGGAAGAUAACUAUAGAGCUAGGAGGCGGGAGAGGCAAGGCGGUACUCGAUGGGUAGGGGUAAAAUCCGUUGAUCCAUUGAAGACCACCAGUGGCGAAGGCGGCUUGCCAGAACGCGCUCGACGGUGAGGGAUGAAAGCUGGGGGAGCAACCGGAGUUAGAAACCC